GUCAGCCAUAGUCGGAGGAGGUUGUUCUUCAACAGCAAUAUCAGAAAAUUGAAGCUUCCUCAUAGCAUGACUAUCUCGUUCUACAUCAAUCCCCUUCAAUUGAGUCUCAGUACACACAGUUUCCACUACAUGCAAGGUUGAUUUCGAUUGGAAUUUUUCUGGCAGAAAACUUCCAAAUAUCAAUGGUUCGAGUUCCUUUGUGAUGCCUGGAGCCGGAGUAACGAUCUGGGGUGGAGGAGGGAGUGGUUGUCGCCGGCAACGAGCCAUAUCAAUGGCGGUUCCUUUGUGAUGCCUGGAGCCGGAGUAACGAUCUGGGGUGGAGGAGGGAGUGGUUGUCGCCGGCGACGAGCCAUAUCAACGGCGGAAGCACCUUGCUAACGUGCGCUGAUCAAGCGCACUGUUCCAUUGAAACCUACGCCGAGAGUUUCUCUCUCCUCUCU
rnacentral:lncRNA from 1 species